CUAUUCGGCCAUCUUGGCUCCUCCCCCCAAAUCUUAUCUUGAAUUGGAGCUUCCAUAAUCCCCACAUGUUGUGGGAGACAACCAGUGGGAGGUAAUUGAAUCAUAUGGCUGUUUUUUUCCCUUGAUGUUCUCAUGAUAGCGAAUAAGUCUCACAAGGUCUGAUGGAUUUAUGAAGGACAUUUCGCCUGCACGUGCUCUCUUGCCUGCUGCCCUGUAAGAUGUGCCUUUGCUCCUCCUUUGCCUUCCACCAUGAUUGUGAGGCCUCCCCAGCCAUGUGGAACUGCCUUCAACAGAUUGGAUGAUGCCCAGCCACAUUGGUGAGGACCAUCUUCUUUACUCAGUCUACUCACUUAAAUGCUAAUCUCUUCAGUAAACAUCCUCAAUGGCAUACCCAGAAAUAAUGUUUUGGCAGCUAUCUGGGUAUCCCUUAACCCUGUCAAACUGGCACAUAAACUUAACCGUCACAGGUAACUUUCAUGUAAUAAAAUAUUAUACGACAAUGAAUA
rnacentral:lncRNA from 10 species